rnacentral:rRNA from 1 species
GGUGAUUCAUGAUAACUUCUCAGAUCGCAUGGCCUUGCGCCGGCGACGGUUCAUUCAAAUUUCUGCCCUAUCAACUUUCGAUGGUAAGGUAUUGGCUUACCAUGGUUUCAACGGGUAACGGGGAAUUAGGGUUCGAUUCCGGAGAGGGAGCCUGAGAAACGGCUACCACAUCCAAGGAAGGCAGCAGGCGCGCAAAUUACCCAAUCCCGACACGGGGAGGUAGUGACAAUAAAUACUGAUACAGGGCUCUUUUGGGUCUUGUAAUUGGAAUGAGUACAAUUUAAACCUCUUAACGAGGAACAAUUGGAGGGCAAGUCUGGUGCCAGCAGCCGCGGUAAUUCCAGCUCCAAUAGCGUAUAUUAAAGUUGUUGCAGUUAAAAAGCUCGUAGUUGAACCUUGGGCCUGGCUGGCAGGUCCGCCUCACCGCGUGUACUUGACCGGCCGGGCCUUCUCUUCUGGAGAACCUCAUGCCCUUUACUGGGCGUGUUGGGGACCAGGACUUUUACUUUGAAAAAAUUAGAGUGUUCAAAGCAGGCCUUUGCUCGAAUAUGUUAGCAUGGAAUAAUAGAAUAGGACGUGCGGUCCUAUUUUGUUGGUUUCUAGGACCGCCGUAAUGAUUAAUAGGGACAGUCGGGGGCAUCAGUAUUCAAUUGUCAGAGGUGAAAUUCUUGGAUUUAUUGAAGACUAACUACUGCGAAAGCAUUUGCCAAGGAUGUUUUCAUUAAUCAGUGAACGAAAGUUAGGGGAUCGAAGACGAUCAGAUACCGUCGUAGUCUUAACCAUAAACUAUGCCGACUAGGGAUCGGGCGAUGUUUCAAUAUUGACUCGCUCG